ACAAUUACUGAAUUAUUUCUUGCGCAAUUAACUAUUUACGUUGAAUGAUUCGCGCGGGUACUUCGCGCGAUUUAUUACGUUGAGUGAUUCGCGGGAAUCGAAGCGACGCGGGACGGGAGUGCCGAACUUCGAUUGCAUCGCGUAUUUUCGCACGAUUCGUUUGAUUUGAAUUGAUCAUUUGAUAUACAGUAGUCUCGCGAACGUCGCUGACGUCGAGAGUAUCGAGAGUGUAUAAAGUGCGUUCACAAUUGACCGUACUUUCGUGAGUUGCGCGAGUUGCGAGGGCAGAAAUUGAGAGGAAGAAGAAGUUCAGAAGGUAUCGAACGACGAAGUAACUACGGCGCGUUAUGAAACUGAACGUGACAUCGGAGCAGCGAGGGAAUCCUGCGUAGCUGACAUCCCGAGCAGCCUGAGAGGAGGAGGAGGCCUAGGAUAGGCAUCGGGCAUCGGCGUACCAACACUUCUGAAAAUAUCCCCGCGGGAAGGAGCAUCUUUGCAUCGAGGGAACACUGACAUCUCGAGCAGCCUGAGAGGAGGUGGAGGCCUAGGAGAGGCAUCAGGCGCCGGCGGAACAACAUGCGAAUCAUCGUAGCGACGUUGCAGAUACAGCUCCGCUGCUGCGCAUCGGGGUCGGUGA